GCCUGGGUGGCUCAGUCGGUUGGGCGGCUGACUUCGGCUCAGGUCAUGAUCUCGCAGUCCGUGGGUUCGAGCCCCGCGUUGGGCU
rnacentral:tRNA from 1 species